GACGAACGCUGGCGGCGUGCUUAACACAUGCAAGUCGAACGGAAAGGCCCUGCUUUUGUGGGGUGCUCGAGUGGCGAACGGGUGAGUAACACGUGAGUAACCUGCCCUUGACUUUGGGAUAACUUCAGGAAACUGGGGCUAAUACCGGAUAGGAGCUCCUGCUGCAUGGUGGGGGUUGGAAAGUUUCGGCGGUUGGGGAUGGACUCGCGGCUUAUCAGCUUGUUGGUGGGGUAGUGGCUUACCAAGGCUUUGACGGGUAGCCGGCCUGAGAGGGUGACCGGCCACAUGGGGACUGAGAUACGGCCCAGACUCCUACGGGAGGCAGCAGUGGGGAAUAUUGCACAAUGGGAGGAAGCCUGAUGCAGAAACGCCGCGUGCGGGAUGACGGCCUUCGGGUUGUAAACCGCUUUCGCCUGUGACGAAGCGUGAGUGACGGUAAUGGGUAAAGAAGCACCGGCUAACUACGUG
rnacentral:rRNA from 1 species